ensembl:lncRNA
GGGAGCCACCGGGAUGCGAGGACAAAGAAGGAUGCCCUUGGUGGAGACUCUCAGCCCCUGCAUUUGGAUUGCUGCCCGGCCCCCUGCCCCUCCUCCUCCCACAAACAGUUGUGCUGACAUCUCAGGAAAGAAGGGCCUGAGUGGGGGCUUCAUGGAGCCCAUUGUACAGAUGGGGAAGCUAAGGCUCAGAGAUGUCAGUCCAGUGAUUAUAUGCCCUGCCCUGCCCUAUUUUCCGGAGUCAAAUAUUCAGAAAAAUAACCAAGUUGUCCAAGAGUGACCUCUAGCAUCCUGGGACAUUGUCCCUUCUCAGCAGGGGUCUGUGUCUUGGGUCUCCCAGGCAGGCAGGCAGGCCCCAAGGUUCCCAGGCCCCAGCCUUGGAGAUAGCUCUUGGAGACCCCAACUCACCAUCUCCUACUCAGCUGUUAAUGCCUCCCAGACUGAUCCUGUGCUUCUGCUGGGGACCUGGGCCUGCCUGCCGUGAGUCCCGUGAUAGAAAAAUGGUCACCAGCGACUGGCCUGAAC